rnacentral:rRNA from 1 species
UACAGAGGGUGCAAGCGUUGUUCGGAUUUACUGGGCGUAAAGGGCGCGUAGGCGGCAUGACAAGUCACUUGUGAAAUCUCCGGGCUUAACUCGGAACGGUCAAGUGAUACUGUCGCGCUAGAGUGCGGAAGGGGCAAUCAGAAUUCUUGGUGUAGCGGUGAAAUGCGUAGAUAUCAAGAGGAAUACCUGAGGUGAAGACGGGUUGCUAGGCCGACACUGACGCUGAAGCGCGAAAGCCAGGGGAGCAAACGGG